rnacentral:rRNA from 1 species
CCUACGGGUGGCAGCAGUGAGGAAUAUUGGUCAAUGGGCGGAAGCCUGAACCAGCCAAGUAGCGUGCAGGAUGACGGCCCUACGGGUUGUAAACUGCUUUUAUACGGGAAUAACGCGCCUUACGUGUAGGGCUUUGCAUGUACCGUAUGAAUAAGGACCGGCUAAUUCCGUGCCAGCAGCCGCGGUAAAACGGAAGGUUCGGGCGUUAUCCGGGUUUAUUGGGUUUAAAGGGAGCGUAGGCCGCAUGUCAAGGUUGCUGGGAAAUGUCCGGGCUCAACCCGGGCCUUGCAGCGCGAACUGGCGUGUUUGAGUCCGGGGAAAGCAGGCGGAAUUGGUCGUGUAGCGGUGAAAUGCUUAGAUAUGACGAAGAACCCCGAUUGCGAAGGCAGCUUGCUGCAGCGGAACUGACGCUGAUGCUCGAAAGCGCGGGUAUCGAACAGGAUUAGAUACCCCUGGUAGUC